ensembl:snRNA LOC120097234 U1 spliceosomal RNA
AUAUUUACUUGGCAGGGGUGAUACCAUGGUCAUAAAGGUUGUUUUCUUUGGCCCUCUGGAUUUGCCUUAUGUGAUUUCCCCAAAGUCACUGCAUGAUUUGUGCUAGUGGGGGACUUCAUUCAUAUUUCCUUG